rnacentral:tRNA from 1 species
GAAAUAUUUAAUUUAAAUAAAAAUAUUAAUUUGCAAAAUUAAAGAUAUAAUAUUACGUUAUAAAUUUCU